UACGUAGGGGGCUAGCGUUGUCCGGAAUCAUUGGGCGUAAAGAGCGUGUAGGCGGCCCGGUAAGUCCGCUGUGAAAGUCGGGGGCUCAACCCUCGAAUGCCGGUGGAUACUGUCGGGCUAGAGUGCGGAAGAGGCGAGUGGAAUUCCUGGUGUAGCGGUGAAAUGCGCAGAUAUCAGGAGGAACACCGAGUGCGAAGGCAGCUCGCUGGGACGUCACUGACGCUGAGACGCGAAAGCGUGGGGAGCAAACAGG
rnacentral:rRNA from 1 species